CGGAGUUAUUAUUCAGAAGUUCUUCGGGAUGGAAGGAUAAGAACUUAGUGGCGGACGGGUGAGUAACGCGUGGGUAACCUGCCCUUUUGUGGGGAACAACUUCGAGAAAUCGGAGCUAAUACCGCAUAAUAAUAGAGGAUCGCAUGAUUCUUUAAGGAAAGAUGGCCUCUGAAGAUGCUAUCGCAAAAGGAUGGACCCGCGUCUGAUUAGCUAGUUGGAAGGGUAACGGCCUACCAAGGCAACGAUCAGUAGCCGGCCUGAGAGGGUGAACGGCCACAUUGGGACUGAGACACGGCCCAGACUCCUACGGGAGGCAGCA
rnacentral:ncRNA from 1 species